rnacentral:rRNA from 1 species
AUUGAACGCUGGCGGCAUGCCUUACACAUGCAAGUCGAACGGCAGCGGGCCUUCGGGUGCCGGCGAGUGGCGAACGGGUGAGUAAUGCAUCGGAACGUGCCAUUGAGUGGGGGAUAACGUAGCGAAAGUUGCGCUAAUACCGCAUAUUCUGUGAGCAGGAAAGCAGGGGACCGCAAGGCCUUGCGCUCUUUGAGCGGCCGAUGUCAGAUUAGCUAGUUGGUGAGGUAAAGGCUUACCAAGGCGACGAUCUGUAGCGGGUCUGAGAGGAUGAUCCGCCACACUGGAACUGAGACACGGUCCAGACUCCUACGGGAGGCAGCAGUGGGGAAUUUUGGACAAUGGGGCAACCCUGAUCCAGCCAUGCCGCGUGAGUGAAGAAGGCCU